CACGUAGGGCGCAAGCGUUGUCCGGAAUUAUUGGGCGUAAAGAGCUCGUAGGCGGUCUGUUGCGUCCGCUGUGAAAACCCAGGGCUUAACCCUGGGCUGGCAGUGGAUACGGACAGACUAGAGGUAGGUAGGGGAGAAUGGAAUUCCCGGUGUAGCGGUGAAAUGCGCAGAUAUCGGGAGGAACACCGGUGGCGAAGGCGGUUCUCUGGGCCUUACCUGACGCUGAGGAGCGAAAGCGUGGGGAGCGAACAGGG
rnacentral:rRNA from 1 species